AGAAACGCACAAACCAGCACGACCAGCAAAAAUUGAAAGAAAGAAACACACAGCGCAAAGUUUUUUUUUUUUUUUUUUUGUUUGUUGUUUGUCACUUCUCUCUU
rnacentral:ribozyme from 1 species